rnacentral:rRNA from 1 species
GACGAACGCUGGCGGCGUGCCUAAUACAUGCAAGUCGAGCGCAGGAAACUGACGGAACUCUUCGGAGGGAAGGCAGUGGAAUGAGCGGCGGACGGGUGAGUAACACGUAAGGAACCUGCCUCAAGGAUUGGGAUAACUCCGAGAAAUCGGAGCUAAUACCGGAUAGUUCAUCGGACCGCAUGGUCCGUUGAUGAAAGGCGCUUCGGCGUCACCUUGAGAUGGCCUUGCGGUGCAUUAGCUAGUUGGUGGGGUAACGGCCCGCCAAGGCGACGAUGCAUAGCCGGCCUGAGGGGGGGAUCGGCCACACUGGGACUAAGACACGGCCCGGACUCCUACGGGAGGCAGCAGUAGGGAAUCUUCCACAAUGGACGAAAGUCUGAUGGAGCAACGCCGCGCAAGUGAUGAAGGUUUUCGGAUCGUAAAACUCUGUUGUAAGGGAAGAACACGUACGAGAGGAAAUGCUCGUACCUUGACGGUACCUUACGAGAAAGCCACGGCUAACUACGUGCCAGCCGCCGCGGUAAAAC